ACAAUGUCGUUUUGUUUUUUUUGUCGGAAAUGAUAAAUGCAUGUUAUCAAUCUGCUUUUGUUUGAAGUUUUUCAUUUUCAACACACUUCCGGAACUGUCUGUUCUUUAAUCUCAACUGAUAUCAAUAAAUUAUAUUUUAAUAUUUGACCAUUGAGCUUCGAAAAUCGUGUAUAGACACAUGUUUCAUUUCAAAAAAAUUGAGUGAAAUUAUACAGAAAUAAAAACUGCAGUGUAUUAAAAUAACAUCAUACCCAUUAUUUGUAAUCGCAUAUCAUUUCUGUAAUCAUUAAUUAAUUCUGAAAAAACCAGUAAAGCAAUGAUGAAGUAAUCGUAAGUGACGAUUGCAAGACAAAGAGCGCGUCUUUUUCUUUCUUUCUUUUUUUUUGCUUCAAUGGCUACAUAAAAUGUUUUCUCAAUUUAAAUAGAAGACUAAUUUUUAUUGUUGUUACAUGAACAACCUUCAUUCUUAGAUGCAUUUUGUCAAACUCUCAGUUACUAAAAAUUAGUGAUGGGUAUGCAUUUGGUAUAUAAUAGAUAUUAGUGUUAUUGUGAGAGGAAUAUCUGAAUUUUGAAAAAUUUGUUACUAUUUUCAUUUCCUACCCCACAGCGCUGGUACAGAAAAUUGUAGAUCUUUGCCAAAUCACAGACGCCGUUUUUCUUACCCAGAUAAGCACAUUUAAAGAAGCGUGUAUAGGAAUCAGACGACUUCAUUAUUGUUAUAUGCCAUACAGUGACCGAAUGUAUUCUAAAUAUCAAUGGAACAUUCCAUAUUUCAAUUAUUAGAAUAAGGACUUUCAGGGAAAAUUAUUUUGUCACUAUAGGUAACAAUGAUGAAAUGAUUCCUCAUUGCUGGAGGCAUAGUGUCAUGACGACGUCUAUUUACAAAUGAACAGGGGAUAUAAAAAUUAUGUAGGGGAAUGAACCUUUACCUCACAUACCGGGAACGAAUCAUAGACAGAAGGGUAAGGGAUAUAUGGUAAUAUCUGAAGGUCGGUUUGUUUUUAUGCCUCGAAUGAGCACAACGAACACCUUAAUUGUUUAUGGAUGUUAUGUACGAGUGGAGUUGAGAAAGAUCAAAAGGGACAUGGCAAGAAACUAGUGAUUCAAAGAGCAGGGAAAGGUUGUGGAGGUUGAGAAAGAGGAUGGAUUUGUAGAUAAGUGGCCUUGGCGAAGACCUAAAGGAAGAUGGAUAGACUGUGUAGAAGAUAAUUUGAGGAAGCAAGAUUUAAGAUCUGUGGACAUUGGAUAUCAGACUGGAUGAACGAAGAAAGCGAAGAACAGUGACCCCUAAAUAGUGUAAGCUGAAGAUAAAGAAGAAAUUUAUAAAUAUAAUAAAAAGUUGCAUUUCGCUGAAAAUUCGAGGGUAAUCUAAACAGUUUCGACUAUGAUGUUGCGACGAACUUUGGUACCUCGUACAAAUGGCGUUAAAUUUCGAAGAAGAGAACUAAUCAGUACAAUUAAUAACAAUAAAAAAGUUUACUUUGACAGCGUAAAUUGUUCAUAAUCUUAUUAGACUUUACUUUACAAAUCAACCGCAGUAGCCGACGGGGCGGUGCGGUAGUCUUGGCGCAGUGGUACGGAAUCUUGAGCGUUACCAGGAGUUUGUCAACCCUUGCUCCUGGUCAAGAUCGGUCGGAAAUUCGAAAGCCAGGGAUAAGUCGGCUGGAGACAAACGGUCAAUUCCAGAGUUCGGAAGGUUGGUCACUGGCAAAGAAGUUAAAACACACGGAAACGGCAGUAAUUUCUCUAAGCGGGAAUGAUAUCGACUAGCUACGGGAAAGCGCAACAAAGGAAAACAAACUCCAUAAAUCGAUCUAAAAGUACACGCGUGCAAAACCGAAAAAUGCAAAAUAAUCCCCUUCAAAUCAUGCUGUUACCUUAUAUAAAAUUCCCAAAAUGCGAAAAGGGAACAUCGGACUUUCCACCCGGCCGGCGCGGCGUACGCUUAUGAUAACGUUCAAAAAUUAAAACUUCGUUCAUUAAUUUCUCGCCUGUUAUCAUACACAUCUGAGACCAGUCUUAAAAUUCAUGUUAUUUAAGCGCGCUUCCAACAAUACCAAACACGACGCAUUUCGUUUGCUGCAAUACAAUUGAUUAACUACGAUUACUAUACAUUUAUACUCAAUUGGGCGCGGAUUAAAAUUCGGUAGUCCAGUACCGCCCAGUAUUAAUUGGAAUUCUCGGAUGAAGCAAGAAGUCGGCUUAUCUAUCGUACUACGGCGACCUUGUCCGAUUUUGUCGUAUAGUUUUAAAUUAACGUAAUAAACGGAACGGAAAUCAUAAAAUAUUAAUUUUCUCUCGUCUUCCAAAUGACGACAGGUUUUGGAGGCUGCAAGAAUAAUUAAAAUAUCUCAUGGGAACAAUUAGAUACGACAUCUUAUUUUUCUUAUGGGCGGUUAAAUCGACGCUACAAACUAAAGCACUUUAAGUUCUAUUAUCGAUUCCGAGAAGAUAACUAGGUCUGGAAAGCUACAGUUCUUCGUAAUCAAGUGCUCGUGCGAGUUCGUCCAUGUACCGAGUGUUCAUUAAAGCUGGUUCCAUCUGCUGCCACUAGCACGUUGACGAUUUUUUUAAGAACAUGCAGCGCACGAAUGUCGAUUCUCUCUUAACCCUAUACCUCAGAAGAACAACCACGAGUUUGACGCCAUGCAAGUGCAAAGAGAAAUUGUCUACAUUUCUGUAAUUACUGACAUGUACAUAGAUGGCUGUAAUAGACUACAUAAAAUUGUCUGUACUUG